UACGUAGGUGGCAAGCGUUGUCCGGAAUUAUUGGGCGUAAAGCGCGCGCAGGCGGUCCUUUAAGUCUGAUGUGAAAGCCCACGGCUCAACCGUGGAAGGUCAUUGGAAACUGGGGGACUUGAGUGCAGAAGAGGAAAGUGGAAUUCCAGGUGUAGCGUUGAAAUGCGUAGAGAUGGGGAGGAACACCAGUGGCGAAGGCGGCUGUCUGGUCUGUAACUGACGCUGAGGCGCGAAAGCGUGGGGAGCAAACAGG
rnacentral:rRNA from 1 species